UACAGAGGUCCCGAGCGUUGUUCGGAUUCACUGGGCGUAAAGGGUGCGUAGGUGGUGGGGUAAGUCGGAUGUGAAAUCUCCAAGCUCAACUUGGAAAUGGCAUUGGAAACUGCCCUGCUAGAGGAUCGGAGGGGGGACUGGAAUACUUGGUGUAGCAGUGAAAUGCGUAGAUAUCAAGUGGAACACCAGUGGCGAAGGCGAGUCCCUGGACGAUACCUGACACUGAGGCACGAAAGCUAGGGGAGCAAAC
rnacentral:rRNA from 1 species